rnacentral:sRNA from 1 species
UCAAAAGGAAGGCAAUCUAAGUUCGCUGCGUCCUGCAGCAACGAUUGCAUAACCCACAUCCUGUGGG